rnacentral:rRNA from 1 species
AUCCUGGCUCAGGAUGAACGCUAGCUACAGGCUUAACACAUGCAAGUCGAGGGCAGCAUGGAGUUGCUGCAAACUCUGAUGGCGACCGGCGCACGGGUGAGUAACGCGUAUCCAACCUCCCUAUAGUAGAGGAUAGCCCGGCGAAAGUCGGAUUAAUACUCUAUGUUUUCCGUUGCAGACAUCUAAGAUGGAACAAAGGCUUGCCGCUAUAGGAUGGGGAUGCGUCUGAUUAGGUAGUCGGCGGGGUAACGGCCCACCGAGCCAUCGAUCAGUAGGGUCUGAGAGGAAGGUCCCCCACAUUGGAACUGAGACACGGUCCAAACUCCUACGGGAGGCAGCAGUGAGGAAUAUUGGUCAAUGGGCGAGAGCCUGAACCAGCCAAGUAGCGUGCCAGGACGACGGCCCUAUGGGUUGUAAACUGCUUUUAUGCGGGGAUAAAGUUCACUACGUGUAGUGUUUUGUAGGUACCGCAUGAAUAAGGACCGGCUAAUUCCGUGCCAGCAGCAGC